GCCUACGGGGCGCAGCAGUGGGGGAUAUUGCACAAUGGGGGGAACCCUGAUGCAGCGACGCCGCGUGGGUGAAGAAGCGCCUCGGCGCGUAAAGCCCUGUCAGCAGGGAAGAAAAUGACGGUACCUGAAGAAGAAGCCCCGGCUAACUACGUGCCAGCAGCCGCGGUAAUACGUAGGGGGCAAGCGUUGUCCGGAAUUACUGGGUGUAAAGGGAGCGUAGGCGGGAAGACAAGUUGAAUGUUUAAACUAUCGGCUCAACCGAUAAUCGCGUUCAAAACUGUUUUUCUUGAGUGAAGUAGAGGCAG
rnacentral:rRNA from 1 species